GGAUACUCUAAUUUCCCACCUAAGCAGUAUAAUCUUGAUGUCUAGCAUCUUGAAAUACAAUCAGAGAAGGAGGUUCAUUUUUACUUUUCCAUGUAUCAACCUGUAUGUAAUGCUUCAUUUUUGCACCAUUUUACAGGAGGACAUCACAUUUGCCUGAUCUUGUGUGCCUGAUCUCUCUGACUCCGGAGUCUCUUAUAAGUUGAGUGAUAAUUCACCUUAUAGACCAUUCCUGAGGUGAUUGUAACACGUGGGAGAAUUGAGCCUAUCAUGGGAAUGAACACACAAGCAGUGGGUCAGUGUGAAUCACCACAGAAAGCUGAGGCUGCAUUUCAAACUCCAGCAACACCACAAGCUCCUGAAAUGAAGACUCCCAAGUUUCCUGAUUGUCUAACUGGUUAGAGUCAAAGAUGGGAAACACUCAGGCAUCAACGAGCUCACCCUUGAAAUGCAUCCUAAGCCAUUGGGACUGAUUUGACCCACGAACCCUGAAAAAG
rnacentral:lncRNA from 1 species